ensembl:lncRNA
UUAAAAUACUGACUUCCUCCAGCUGCUACUACCUCUUUCUUGGUCCUUUAAUUGUUCUCCUCAACCAUGAGUCAGCAGCUGGACUUGAUGGUCAGAACUCUCAUGGAGAAAAGAAAUUUUCUCUGGGUUCCAGCCUUAUGUGAUGUGUGCAUUCUUGGCUCAGAGGGGCUCAGUGUUGGGCUGCACUCAAGGUGAGAGCAAGGUUUUCAUUAGGAGAAAAGUACUACCUCAGGCUCCCACCUGUGAAGCACAGUGGAGGGGCAGAAGGAACAUAACCAGCACAAACAUUCAGGGCUUCUCAUGGCCCACCAGUGGAUUUUGGGUCAGUCUCAGUAAAAGAUGCCUUUUGGGGAGAUGCCUCCCGAAGCACUUGGACAACAAGUCUCUUCUCUGGUCCUCUCCAGGGUCAGUCUCCAUACCGAUUGCCUGCUCUAUCCUUAACUAUCAAUAUCUGUCAUAGCCUAAUUUUAUUGCUGAGUCAGACAAUCCAUUUUAAUUGCCCAUUUCCACCUCCAACUGUGCCUCUGUUUCACAGGAGGGAAAAAUCUUUCUCUUAGGGCUUGGUGCCUGCUCAUCCCCCUGGAUCAGAUGCCCAGGGUGGCAAUGCAGGCCACCCAGAGCAGCUGUCCUCAGCCUUUUUUUGGCGCCAGCGACCAAUUGCCUGGAAGACAAUUUUUCCAUGGACCUGGGGUCAGGCCUAUGGUUUUGGAAUGAUUUACAUGCAUUACAUUUUUUGUGUGCACUUUAUUUCUCAUCUAAUGCUGCCGAUGAUCUGACAGGAGUUUCGGGACUCCUGACCUAGAGGAUCUCUUACAACUCCUGAGGCCCCAGGUUCUCCAUUUUCCUGGGCUGUACUGGGGAAGUUGAAGAUUUUGUUCAUAUGCUGAGCCUCUCCCACUAGCUUCCUGCCCACCUUCAGUGUGUUCUCUUCUAGAAGCUGGCCAGUGCUGUGUCCAGGUCCCUUUUUUUUUUUUUGUCCCUCCAGACUCAUUCUUCCUUAUGUUCCUCCUUGUCCUGGGAGGUGGGUCCUUUGCUUCCUGGCUUCCAGCUGGUCUAGCGGUGAGAUGACUGCAGGAGACCCGGGCAGGUCAGGACGUUUGUUCCCCUGGUGCUCUCUUUGUGGGAUUCCUCAGGUUCUCUCUCUGAUGGAAGGUCAGAGCACCUCCCAAGGGGGCCCUCUCCUCACGGUUCCGAGUUCUGCUAAGCACUCCCUUCCUCAACCCUAGCUCCGUGAGAAGAGCUUCCCCUGUGCACUGCUGCCUUCCUCAGUCUGGGUCGUAGAAUGAACCUAUGUGGAGCAGCCCAGACCUUUAUCUGCAGAGGAGGGAAUCCCAGCAGGACACCAGCUUGAGGCAGAGCUCCCAGCUGAGCCAGCUGACCUCCAGUGAACCCACAGCCUGGGAGAAGCACAUGCUUAUUGCUGCAUUUCACCGAGAUUGUGUGAUAAAGGGUCACCACAGGGCACUGAGUAGUUCUCUGAGCUCUACAGCAGGUUCUCAUUGAGGGAAGUUGCUCAGUUGUGUCCGACUCUCUUCGACCCCACGGACUGUAGCCUACCAGGCUCCUCCAUCCAUGGGAUUUUCCAGGACUUUGAUUCCUGCCCCCCAAGGCAGGAAUGGUGUGCUACUCAUCUCUUUAAGUAUCUCCAGUGCCUGGCAUACAGGAAAUGCCUCAUAAGAAGAUCUGACCAGUCGAUCCUAAAGGAAAUCAGUCCUGAAUAUUCACUGGAAGAACUGAUGCCGAAGCUGAAACUCCUAUACUUUGGCCACCUGAUCCCAAGAACUGACUCAAUGGAAAAGACCCUGAUGCUGGGAAAGACUGAAGGCUGGAGGAGAAGGGGAUGACAGAGGAUGAGAUGGUUGGAUGGCAUCACCGACUCAAUGGACAUGGGUUUGGGUGGACUCCGGGAGCUGGUGACGGACAGGGAAGCCUGGUAUGCUGCAGUCCAUGCGGUCGCAAAGGGUCAGACACUACUGAGCAACUGAACUGAACUGAACUGAAUAUAUCCAAUUCCAAAUAUAGAUACAGUUUAAAGAAUGACAAGGAAAUAAACACAGUCACUACCUAGUUUGAAAUAGAAGAUUAGUCAUUUGAAGCACUAUGAGUCGUCUUUUUUUUUUUUUUUUUUUCAGGUGCAUCCCUUCCCUACCAUAUGGAAAAUUUAAAAUAUGCAGAACAAUACUAUAUGUUUUUAUGUAAAAGUAUAAAAACAUACGUAUAAUGAUAAAUACCAACUGAAGAUAGCAGUUAUCUCCGGAAGGAAAGAGAAUGGAAUUAGAUAGGGAUAUGAGGGUUUCUAACCGAUCUGUAAUGUUUCAUUAAAAAAAAAUGAUGUCAAGCAAAUGGGGCAAAAUGUAAAGAUCUGGCUGUGUUUGCUACAUUAUUCUCAGAGAGCAUAAAGCCAAAAUAGCACAAGGGGUUGAGUACACAAGUUCUGGAACCAAAUAGGUUUAGAUUUAUUUGUGCCUGCUUAAGUUACUAUCUGUAGAAGUUGUACAAAUGACUUAGCCUCCUUGCAACUCAGUUUUUCUUAUCAAUAAAAUGGAGAUUAUAAU